AGCACAGGGGGGUUCUGGGUUGGGGCAGGGCCAGCUCUCACCCACAGCACCCCCAAGUCCUUCUGCCAGGGCUGCUCCAUCUGCUCGUCCCAGCCUGGAUUCAUGCCAGGGGCUGUUCUGAUGCAGGUGCAGCACCAACACUUGGUCUUGUUGAACCCUGUGAGAUUCCCUUGGGCCACUUCUCCAGCUGGUAAGUGCCAUCCCUUUUACUUUGUAGUGGAAGAGACAGAUAAUUCAGAUUUUGCCUGGAGCACAAAAGGAUGUUCCUCCUGAGGCUCACGUACAGGUAAUCUCCAAGCAACUGUUACAAAAACUCCCUUCAAAUCACCUGCAGUCUGAUGAUCCUCACCACCAUCCAAAUUAUAUACAAUGUUACAUUUUAGGCAAACAUGUCAAAACCACAGAUUUUUUUAAUAUUACAUCUACCAUUAACAGAAGAACGGGUCUCACUUUCAAAAGUAUUUAUGCUCCUCAGGCUUUGCUUACAUUGUGAAACAGAUGUCUGGCUGCAUUGUCCUGGACAGCGCUGUCACUUUGCUGUGCUGGACCUGCUUUUCCCUAGCAAAAAUGGAGGAAAACAAGGAGUAAGAUGUCCUUAGAGGAGACAGUGCCUGCCUUUGUGAUAAUCAAACCAAACCCCAUAAUGCUACCAGGAUUCUUUGCUAGGAAUUGUCUUCCUAUGAAAUGAGAGACAAUAUUACAGAACUGCCAGCAUAAAGAAAAAAGGCAAACUCUGUUCCCUCAGAGAUUAUUGUAAUGGCCCAUGUGAUAAUUCAGUUCUGCUCAGUAACCAGCUGUGCUAUUAUACUAUGUAAAUCACAAAUGGUAAACAGAAGUAAUGUAAAGCAAGGGCUCCCUCCCACCACAAAUAAAUAAAAAGGAGAUUUGGGUACCUUCUGUCUCUGCAAUUUUAAGGAGGCUUUCCUGAUAAUUUUCAAAUUUCUAUUUCAUAAAGGGCAUUCUCAAGGAAAGAAGAUAGAAGAUGAGUAGCAGCUUGUUAACAUGGGCAAGAGGUACCUAGAGCCUUGUUCUGACAAAUAGAGAAACCAUAUGGGAGAAGUUUUGCCCACACACAUUUUGGCUUGAGCAUAUUCCUCCAGCCUGCCUGUGUCCAGUGGAAGAGAAGCCCUGCAUCUGAGCAUACCAACUUCAUCACCACAGUUUGCUGUCAUCUGCAAAACUGGAAGGGUUGCAUGCUAGUUCCUCCUCCAGCUCACAGAAAGAGAGAUGAAAUAUUACAGGACCCAAGACAGACACCUGAGAGACACCACUUGUAACCAAAGUCCAGCAAUCUUAUAAACUCUUCCCUUCUUCCUUCAAGCAAGAUUCCACACAGAAUAUUUUCCUUUGCCAUGGAAAGGAUUAUUCCAGCAUAAAGGUAAUGGUGACAAAGGGUAAGUAAGGCUCUGCAUACAAUAAUAAUCCCU